rnacentral:rRNA from 1 species
UCCCGGGUCCGAGUUGUAAUUUGUAGAGGAUGUUUUGGGCACCGCCUCGGGUUAAAUUUCUUGGAACAGAAUGUCAAAGAGGGUGAGAGUCCCGUCUUGGCCCGCGGUAGGACCUAUGUAAAACUCCUUCGACGAGUCGACUUGUUUGGGAAUGCAGGUCAAAAUGGGUGGUAAAUUUCAUCUAAAGCUAAAUAUUGGCCAGAGACCGAUAGCGCACAAGUAGAGUGAUCGAAAGAUGAAAAGCACUUUGAAAAGAGAGUUAAACAGUAUGUGAAAUUGUUGAAAGGGAAGCGCUGGCAACCAGACUCGAGCGCGGUGCUCCCCUAGGCUUCUGCCUGGGCUACUUCACCGUGACCGGGCCAUCAUCAGUUUUGGGGGUCGGUCAAAGGCCCGGGGAAUGUAUCCUCCCCUCCGGGGGAGGACUUAUAGCCCCGGGCGUCAUGCGGCCUCCCGGGACUGAGGAACGCGCUUCGGCGAGGAUGAUGGCGUAAUGGUUGUCAGCGACCCGUCUUGAAACACGGACCAAGGAGUCUAACAUCUAUGCGAGUGUUCGGGUGUCAAACCCCUGCGCGGAAUGAAAGUGAACGGAGGUAGGAAGGCCUGAGCCUGCACUAUCGACCGAUCCUGAUGUCUUUCGGAUGGAUUUGAGU